rnacentral:rRNA from 1 species
GAUGAACGCUGGCGGCGUGCUUAACACAUGCAAGUCGAACGAUGAAGCCCAGCUUGCUGGGUGGAUUAGUGGCGAACGGGUGAGUAACACGUGAGUAACCUGCCCUUGACUCUGGGAUAAGCCUGGGAAACUGGGUCUAAUACUGGAUAUGACUUCUCAUCGCAUGGUGGGGGGUGGAAAGAUUCAUUGGUCUUGGAUGGACUCGCGGCCUAUCAGCUUGUUGGUGAGGUAAUGGCUCACCAAGGCGACGACGGGUAGCCGGCCUGAGAGGGUGACCGGCCACACUGGGACUGAGACACGGCCCAGACUCCUACGGGAGGCAGCAGUGGGGAAUAUUGCACAAUGGGCGCAAGCCUGAUGCAGCGACGCCGCGUGAGGGAUGACGGCCUUCGGGUUGUAAACCUCUUUCAGUAGGGAAGAAGCGAGAGUGACGGUACCUGCAGAAGAAGCGCCGGCUAACUACGUG